ACAGUCGUCACAAUUUCGAUAUGAAUGAGUCGACCAAGGUUAUUAUGAUGUAACGUUAUCAUAUAAACGUGCGGCGGCGCAGUUCGAAAACAUUCCAUUGGUCCGACAUGACCCUACGGCAAAAACUAGGGGUGGCAACAAAAACCCAACCAUGAUAUUUUGGGCCUCUUUAAACAAGGAAGCAAGUUAGAAUGGGCUGGGGAUUUAGUCAAGAUGGGUUUUAAAAUAUCCAUCUAAAUUUUAACAUGGGCCAAGAUGGGUUUUUAACUCUCUAAUCCUAAAACACGCAUCAGACUUUUCUUUCUAUUUCUCCUGCGGAUCUGAACAAACAUCUUAUGCCUGAUGCUGCUGAUCAUUGAUUUACACUUUACUUCAUCAUGAGAAUCGUACCGGUAAUUUCUUCACUUUCCAGAAACUUUUUCGCAAUGAUUCCUUCGGGUUUAUGAUUGUGUUCUUGUUGAUUUUUGAUCAUCGGUGAUGAUUUUCACUAAUUGAUUAUUGUUGAUCUAGUGAUGAUUGAUUGGCGAAUUGUUGUUAUUUUGCAUGAAUUGGAGUUGUUUUACUUUUGACUUUAGCUGUUCAAUUGCAGUAGAUAGAUCUGAAUAUUAAGCAAUACUGUAGGUUUAGCUCUUUAAGCAGUUUAGAGAACUAUAGCAAAUGCUAUGUCGGUUUCAGUUCUUUACUUUGUUCAGUGGCAGAACCCGAACUUGUUUUUAUUAGGUGUCAUCAUAAGGGUCCAGAUCAUGUCAAACCUGAAAGUACAAGCGUAGUUAAUAUUCUCCCCGAGUUUACUCAAAUCCUUCGCGUUUGGGUUAAACUGGCACCACUUCUCUUGGUACCGCACGUUUUGGGCCGGUACAAAAAACGAGUUCUGACCUCGUCCUGAAAUAUCCAUAGCAAACUUGGGCUGCCAGUCGUAUCGAAAAAUCCCCCAAAGACGUUCGAAGUUUCCCGGGGCAAUGCUCUUGGCAUCCUCAUCAAUAAGCCCAAAAAGGUACACUUCUAUCGGGCCAGGCCGAAGUGGUGUUCCUUUGUUUGAAGCAAUACGGGGUAAAAGCCCGUUGUAGAACCGAUACGCCAUGUUAACGUUCGCGUUUUUAUCCCCGUCGGUCGGCCACCCGACCUCCCCGACAAUAAUCGGCAUGUCACCGUAGCCCGCAGCCAUUAAUGCGGACACUAAAGAAUCGUAAUUAGCGUUGAAAACGUUUGUGUAUUGGAUCCAGUUAUCGACAACGGGCUGCGGUGCACCGUCAAAGAAGGCGAAAUCAAUAGGAAAGUUAUCAUUCCCAUAGAGACUUAAAAAAGGGUAUAUGUUGACUGUGAAGGGUGUCAUCAUAAUUGGUCAGUAGGUCUGUUUGUCUGCUAAUCUUGACCAUAUUCUGCAAAAAAAGCAACUUUCUAUUCAUGGCUGUUUGAUCUUGUUCCCAUUUUACUUAGGGUUUGUUAGUGGUGUAUAUUAAUUAGUGUUUAUGAGGCUGCAAUUCAAGAAAGAAACAUGAUCAGAGGGUUACUAUUUCCUUUUAAAUUCUUGUGAAUGCCUAAUUGUAGAUACUGUUUCUUGAACUUGAAGUGAUCCCCUUAUUUGAUCACUACUAGUCUUGCAAUACAAUGUCUUCACCAAACACCUUGUUAAAUUA
rnacentral:lncRNA from 1 species